rnacentral:rRNA from 1 species
CGUAGGCAGCGAGCGUUGUUCGGAUUCACUGGGCGUAAAGGGUGCGCAGGCGGCCAAGUGUGUGAGGCGUGAAAGCCUGGAGCUUAACUCCAGAAUUGCACCUCAAACUACAUGGCUAGAGCAUUGGAGAGGGUAGCGGAAUUCACGGUGUAGCAGUGAAAUGCGUAGAUAUCGUGAGGAACACCAGAGGCGAAGGCGGCUACCUGGACAAUUGCUGACGCUCAGGCACGAAAGCGUGGGGAGCAAAAGGGAUUAGAUACCCCUGUAGUCCACGCCCUAAACGGUGCACACUAGGUCUUGGCGGAUUCGACCCCACCAGGGCCCAAGCUAACGCGUUAAGUGUGCCGCCUGAGGACUACGGCCGCAAGGCUA